GAAAGAUCGGAUUAACUACUGUCCGAUUGGGCUGAGUAUUCGCCCCAAUCAAA
ncrna:Butyrivibrio sp. VCD2006 S4-Clostridia ribosomal protein leader